GGAUAACCCGGCGAAAGUCGGACUAAUACCGCAUGAAGCAGGGGCCCCGCAUGGGGAUAUUUGCUAAAGAUUCAUCGCUGAUAGAUAGGCAUGCGUUCCAUUAGGCAGUUGGCGGGGUAACGGCCCACCAAACCGACGAUGGAUAGGGGUUCUGAGAGGAAGGUCCCCCACAUUGGUACUGAGACACGGACCAAACUCCUACGGGAGGCAGCAGUGAGGAAUAUUGGUCAAUGGGCGUAAGCCUGAACCAGCCAAGUCGCGUGAGGGAUGAAGGUUCUAUGGAUCGUAAACCUCUUUUAUAAGGGAAUAAAGUGCGGGACGUGUCCCGUUUUGUAUGUACCUUAUGAAUAAGGAUCGGCUAACUCCGUGCCAGCAGCCGCGGUAAUACGGAGGAUCCGAGCGUUAUCCGGAUUUAUUGGGUUUAAAGGGUGCGUAGGCGGCCUUUUAAGUCAGCGGUGAAAGUCUGUGGCUCAACCAUAGAAUUGCCGUUGAAACUGGGGGGCUUGAGUAUGUUUGAGGCAGGCGGAAUGCGUGGUGUAGCGGUGAAAUGCAUAGAUAUCACGCAGAACCCCGAUUGCGAAGGCAGCCUGCCAAGCCAUUACUGACGCUGAUGCACGAAAGCGUGGGGAUCAAACAGGAUUAGAUACCCUGGUAGUCCACGCAGUAAACGAUGAUCACUAGCUGUUUGCGAUACACUGUAAGCGGCACAG
rnacentral:rRNA from 1 species